CUAAGGCUCCAGAGGAAGCCACGGCUAACUCUGUGCCAGCAGCCGCGGUAAUACAGAGGCGGCAAGCGUUGUUCGGAAUUAUUGGGCGUAAAGAGCACGUAGGCGGCCUUGCAAGUCAGUUGUGAAAGCCUUCCGCUUAACGGAAGAAUGCCAGCUGAUACUACAGGGCUUGAGUACGGGAGGGGAGAGUGGAACUUCUGGUGGAGCGGUGAAAUGCGUAGAUAUCAGAAGGAACGCCGGCGGCGAAAGCGACUCUCUGGCCCGAAACUGACGCUGAGUGUGCGAAAGCUAGGGGAGCAGACGGGAUUAGAUACCCCGGUAGUCCUAGCCGUAAA
rnacentral:rRNA from 1 species